UACGGAGGGUGCAAGCGUUAUCCGGAUUCACUGGGUUUAAAGGGAGCGUAGGUGGGUUGGUAAGUCAGUGGUGAAAUCCCCGAGCUUAACUUGGAAACUGCCGUUGAUACUAUCAUUCUUGAAUAUCGUGGAGGUAAGCGGAAUAUGUCAUGUAGCGGUGAAAUGCUUAGAUAUGACAUAGAACACCGAUUGCGAAGGCAGCUUGCUACACGAUCAUUGACACUGAGGCACGAAAGCGUGGGGAUCAAACAGG
rnacentral:rRNA from 1 species